AAAAAGGUAAGCUAAUAAAGCUUUUGGGUUCAUACCCCAACCAUAAGAGUUUCAACCCCUUUCUUUUUA
rnacentral:tRNA from 1 species